rnacentral:lncRNA from 1 species
GGGAAUGUUUUGUUUUUCACCCAAAAUGAACUAUAUUGCUUCGGAAGAGAUUUAUUACUCUGCCUGACUCUUAUAUAUUGUUCUGUUUUUUGUUUGUUUUUGUUGUUUUCAGGUUCAAUGGUGCGUGUUCUUCUAAUGGCCGCCUUCCCACUGGAGGUUUUGAUCCACAGCAAUUUAAAAGGAGGACAGAUCAAAACGGACAUCGUCGCAGAGUGAAGAACUGCCCUUCAUAAGGACACUAUGACAGCCAUAUAUAGUAAGUGAAGACUUUCUGUCUAUCUAAAAUUGCAUACAGCACAAGUAACUUACUUUGCAACCAUUAAAAUAGGUUGUAAAGUAAGUUACCAAUACAAAUAGGUGAUGAUGCAUUGUAGUGGUUGGUCUCAGACAAAGAAGGUCAACAGAUUUAUGAAUGCUGGAGGGUAAGGAGAGACAACCAAAAGGGGUGUUAGCAUUACUGUAAUGUGAACUGGAUAGACUUUCCAUCUAGGAAAAAAAGGGGUAAAAUUAUGCGUAAAAUAUAUCUGUAUUAAUAUCUGUAUCUAUAUAAACAGAAAUAUCUGUUUACUAAAUGAAGCCAGCUAACAUAAAUCAUAUUUUUAUUUUAACUCUGAUAAAAGUAAUAGAACUGUGACUUUUGUUUGUUGCAGUGGCAGUAAGGAAGAGGUUUCCCAAUGUGUCCAGAAGGGCUUUGAGGAUUGCAGUGAAAGCUGGGGGAACUGAGACUGCUGGAAAAGGA